UACGUAGGGGGCAAGCGUUGUCCGGAAUCAUUGGGCGUAAAGCGCGUGUAGGCGGCUGACUAAGUCCGCUCUGAAAGCCCGGGGCUCAACCCCGGGAGGCGGGUGGAUACUGGGUCAGCUCGAGUCCGGAAGAGGAGUGUGGAAUUCCUGGUGUAGCGGUGAAAUGCGCAGAUAUCAGGAGGAACACCAAUGGCGAAGGGCAGCACUCUGGGGACGGUACUGACGCUGAGACGCGAAAGCGUGGGGAGCAAACAGG
rnacentral:rRNA from 1 species